GGUUCUGCGGACCCGGACGGGGGCGGGCGGCUGGGGCUGGCCUCCGAGCGGGGCUGCCGCACGCGUCCCCCACCCAGCUCUCCCUGCCCCACGACCCCGGGGCUGCCCUCCUCUCCCUUUCCUGCUCCCUGCGGACCAGGUCAGUGGCGUGGGCGCUGCUCCCCGGGCUGAGAGCCUCAGGUUGUAAAUACCAGCCUCUCCUGGUGGAGUUGGCAAAAGGGAGCGUCAGUGCUAAGGGAGCUUCCGUCUCCUCCCUCAGUGUUUCUGCCCCAGAAGAGAAAAGUAACCUCAGUGAAGC